rnacentral:rRNA from 1 species
AACACGUUCAGUUGACUGGUACUAAUUGCUCGAUAGGCUUGAUUUG